GACGAACGCUGGCGGCGUGCUUAACACAUGCAAGUCGAACGAGGAAGUACCUUCGGGUAUGAUUAGAGUGGCGCACGGGUGAGUAACACGUAGGUGACCUUCCAUAUAGUUUGGAAUAACCAGAAGAAAUUUUGGCUAAUACCGGAUAAGUAAAGUAAUUUUGGAAGUAACUUUAGAAAGAAUGCCUCUGCGUAUGCAUUCGCUAUUGGAUGGGCCUGCGGCGCAUUAGCUUGAUGGUGAGGUAACGGCUUACCAUGGCUUCGAUGCGUAGCCGGAUUGAGAGAUUGAUCGGCCACACUGGGACUGAGACACGGCCCAG
rnacentral:rRNA from 1 species